GGUUCCCAGGGUAGGGGUCUAAUUGGAGCUGUUGCUGCCGGCCUACACCACAACUGCAACAACAUCAGAUCCGAGCUGCGUCUGCAACCUACACCACAGCUCACAGCAAUACCAGAUCCUUAACCCACUGAGAGAAGCCAGAGAUUGAACCCACAACCUCAUGGUUCCUAGUUGUAUUCGUUUCCGCUGCGCCACAACGGGAACUCCAUCCAAUUCUUAUUAUGAAAUUUAACCCUUUUUAUAUCAUUAUUCUAGGUUUCUCUCUUCUCUCAUUCAUGCUUUUAAUCUAUGCUUUCUCAUGAUACUUUAUUUUCCUUCCAAACUGGCAUAAAUUAUUUCCCAUUUAAGAUGAAUAUAGGUAAGUAAAUACAUACACACAUUUUAGCCUUGAACAAACAAUGAACUCUUCUGGACGAAUUUAUCAUAAUAGCAUAGGCUCAUGAUUCAGAAAUAUCUGCAGUCUGAGCCUGGCUCAUGUGCUCAUCAGCUAGUUAUUAUGAAUAGUUGAUGAGUUAUUUGAUGUGAACAUGCUUUUUGCAUCUUGAAAAUUGUACAGUGCUCUCCUUAUGAAAUGAAUUACACACUCAUACGUAUAUAUACAUACAUAUGUACAUGCACAUACAAACACUAUACAUGUGUGUGUGUAUAUAUGUAUUAUAUGUAUAUAUAUAUAUGUUUAUACAUAAUGUUUGCAUCUACAAAUGUCAACUUGCCUGACUUUUUCCAGAGAAUAUACCCAGUGCCUGGCACCUAGAACAGUGUUUGGCAUGGAGUAGGCACUCAAUAAAUACUUAACGAAUAAUUCAUUAUUCUUGGUUCCCACCGGAGUUUCUGAUUCUGCAGGAUCCUGAUGAUGUUAUUUCUGCUGGUUUAUGGACUGUGUUUAAGAGCUAGUGGCUUAGGAAUUCUCCGGUGGUCUAGGAAUUAAGGAUCUGGCAUUGUCAUUGCUGUGGAACAGUUAUGAUCCCUGGCCUGGGAACUUCUGCAUGCCAUGGGCAUUACCAAACAAACAAACAAACAAACAAAAAAAACAAAGAGCUAGUGGUUUAGUGGUUUAGUGGAAAGUGCAAGUCUUUGGAAUUAGAUACAUCUGGAUGAAAAUUUGAGCCCUGUAACUUGUAUGUCUACAAUUUAUCAUCUCUGAGAUUCAGUGUACACAUUGGCAAAGUUAAGAUGAUGGUGAUGGCUACCUCAAAGGAUUUCUGCGGGGAUUGAAUGAGAUGAAAUACACAAAGGACAUAACCUGGUGCCUGGGACAUAACAGAGUUGAUGCUCAGUAAAUAUGAUUUUAUUUUCCUUUCAUGUAAAUAUAUAAUGAUUUUCUCUUUAUAUCCUCUUCCUUUAUCUAUUAAAAAUAUACUGGAUGGGUUUUUCUCUAUAAGCAGGUUAGUUGAUUUGAGGGUAUAGUAAAAGUAAUUGUAUUGGAGUUUUCAUUAAGCUGCGUUUGUUCACAUUUAAUGUCUAAAAGUAGACUGCAGAUAUAUGUUAAAUAGCUUUUGAUAGGUAAGAGCUUAACCUAAAAAAAAAUAUCUCUAACGCAUUCUUUCAGAUGUUAUCUAAGUAAGGGCAAAGUGGGUUUGCAUUGACCCCAUUAUCCUCAAGCUGUUUAUAGAUUCAAUGGGUGGAGUGUAAUGGUGUCAGAUGGGGCCAGCGCCUAGAUGAAACUACAUUCUUUUUGAACUUCCCUCUGCCCUUAAUAUUCUCUUCUGUUUCCUUCACAUCCCUUCUGAGAGCACCUCACCCCACAAUAAAUCACUUGAACAAGAAUAUCCACCUCAGACUCUGCUUCUUGGGAAACUGACCACAAACACAGCUUUAAAUUUUUUUAACUGUAUCAUUUAAUUUUUUUAGUUGAAAUAUAGUUGAUUUAUAAUGCUGUGCCAAUUUCUGCUGUACAGAAAAGUGACUCAGUCAUAUACACACACACAUAUACAUAUAAUUUUUUUAUAUAUUCUUUUCCAUCAUGGUCUAUCCCAAGAGAUUGCAUAUAUUUCCCUGUGCUAUACAGUUGAAUUUUUAUUGUUUAUCUGUUCUAAAUGUAGUAGUUUGCAAUGAUGUUGUUUUAAUAUGUGUACUAUAUGGAAUAAUCACUACACUCAAGGUAAUUAACAUAUCUGUCACCUCACAUAGUUACCAUUUUGUGUGUGUGUGUUGAGAACACUUAAGAUCUACUCUCUUAGCAAAUUUCAAGCAUACAGUACAUUAUUAUUAACUAUAGUCACCAUGUUAUAUAUUAGAUCUCUAGAACUUUUUCAUCUUCUAACUAAAAUUUUGUAACCCGUGACCACCAUCUUCCCAUUCCUCCACACACCCAGCUGCUGGCAACCACCAUUCUACUAACUUUCUAAAUUUGACUUUCUUCGAUUUCACGUGUAAUAUCAUGCAAUGUUUCUCUGAGUGCCUAGCAUAUACAUAUGGAUAAAAGAAUUGUAGAAAAAUAUGUUAUAUACACACAUAUAUAUGUAUAUAUAUUACAAUUUCUUUAUGCAUUCAUUGUCCACAGACAGAUUGUUUCCGUAUCUUGGAUACUUGGGAGGAAUAAAUAGCUCCUUGAGAUACUGACUUCACUUCCUUUGGCUCUAUACCAGUAAGUAGGAUUUCUAGAUCAUAUGCUAGUUCUAUUUUUAACCAUUUCAGGAAACUAUACUGUUUUCCAUAAUGGCUACACAAAUUUACAUUCCGACUAACAGUGUACAAGGUUUCCCUUUUCUCCACAUCCUCACCAACAUUUGUCAUCUCUUGUCUUUUUGAUGAUAACCAUUCUGACAGGUGUGAGGGGAAAUCUCAUUGUGGUUUUGAUUUGCUUUUCCCUGGUAAUUAGCAAUGUUGAGCAUCUUUUCACAUGCUGUUGGCCAUUUGUCAAUUUUCCUUAGGGAAAUGUCUUUACUCUUCCUAUUUUAUAAUUGGAUUUGCUUUUUGCUGUUGAGUGGUAGAAGUUCCUUACAUAUUUUGGAUAUUAACCCUUUAUCAGAUAGACGGUUUGCUAGUAUCCUUGUGGUGGAAGUGGUGCUGGUGUUUGGAGUGCAGACCUACAUAACGACAACAGAGCUGAGAUCCUGGGCUCAGGAGCACCAUGGGACUUCUUAGUGCUCAGGGCUUGGGGCCCUUGCUGUGGUGAGGGCACUGAUGUCUGAAGUGUGGCCAUGCACAGAUCAUCCACUGAGCUGGGGUCUGAGUCUUCUGCUUGCCUCAGUGACUCAGUUCCUGAGGCAGGAGAGACAGCAGUGGCACAGAACUAGGCAUGCCAGGUUGCAGCAGUGUCCAGGGCCACAGGGGCAGGGUGCAGUGGCCAAGUGGUCUGAGGGAUGAGCAUCAACUGUAACUCAGGUCCCAGGGGGUGGAAGGUAGUCAGCAGCAGCUCAGCUCAGAGAAAUGGGAAGGCCUUAUGGUUUCUUGUUCUCAGAGAGUGGUGUGCAGUAGCAACACAGACACAGCUUUAAUUUAUUUAUUCUUAAAUUUUUGGCCACGCCCACAGCAGUUGGAAGUUCCUGGGCCAGGGAUCAAACCCAUGCCACAGCAGUGACAAUGCCAGAUCUUUAACCACUAGGCCACCAGGGAACUCGAGAUGCAGCUUUUAUUCCAAACAUUUCUGACAUUUGCAAGUGGUCUUUGCUGUCAGUACUAAAUUUCUAGGUUGUUAUGCUUUGUGGGCUAGUUUUACAUUGGAUAAUACCCAACCAUUUAGAAUCAAAUAUGAAGAAUACAAUAUGUAAGAAAAUUGAAUGUUGCUAUUGCUUUAGUGUUAGUAGGAAAAUAUGUUGGCUAUAGAAUAUCUGAUUUUUGGAAUGGAUUUUAAACUGGGAAGUGUAGCUUAUUUAUUUACAUGCCAGAAUUCUGAUAUAUGUUGAAAACCAAAUCCUGUCACUUGCUAAAAUUUCAUUAUCUCUGUUGUUUCAUGGCUAUUAAUUUUCCAAUUCUAAAGGUAUUUUCUAAAUGGUUAUAAAAUGAUCUGAGCAUAAUAGGUCAUUUAACUGACAUUUCCCUCCAUAUUAGGAAGAAAUGCAAUAUGUAAAAAGAUCAGUGACAACCCUGUUCUUCCCUGUUGAUAGGAAUCAAGCUUGUCACUUUGCUUUAUACAGUUUCAAAAUUCUUCCAACCUUUAAAUUUCAAAACAUUUCCAAGAAAAGCAAUUAACAUGCUUAGGCAUUUUUGAUCAUUUUUAAAAUAACUUUCGAUUUUGACAACAGACAGAAAAAACACAAUUUUUAUCAUGUGUAAAGGUUUUUAAAAUAAAAUUUUUCAUGUCUUACUUGUAUUUGUGUAAGUCUUUUGGUUAUUGCUAAUACACAGUGUUCACUUGAAUACACACGUGAUUCAUAAGUUUCAAGAUGUCUUCCUAGCCAGCGAAGCAUCAUCUUCUUUAGAAAUACCACUUGAUUCAGUGGAAUGGGUCUCCAUCCACCAGGUCUGUCACACAAGAGCCUAUUCUCCAGCCACUGCUGUUUAGACCAGAGCCAUCUGACCAAGCUGGCCCAGUCAGAUUAUCCUCUGAUUUUCAAAUUUUGUCUUGUGCAUUAAGUGGGAAGGUUGUAAACAACGUGUGACUCAUGCAAUGACCAUCUCUGCCGUGUAGACCAAGUUCCUUUUUGAGUCAUCAUUCCAUUUUCCUGUUAGUUUCCAUGAAUUGCUUUGAUUCCUUACACAGCAGAAUAUAGCUGUUCCUCAUUUUUCUUUCUGUUUGAGAAUAUAAGAAAGAUGAUCAUAAACUGUACUUAGACUUGUAAUUAAGGGUGAAAAUUUGAAUUGUGCACACUAGAGGGUCCUAAUCUUGAAAAAUGAAAUGGGACUAAAGUCACAUUUUUAUUAGAGAACUCCCAUCACAUUUUCCUUUUGUUAUUUAAUUGCUUUGAAAUUUGUUAUUUUUAUUUUAUUUAUUUAUUUGGUUUUGCUUAGUUCCCAGGCUAGGUGUCAAAUCGGAGCUAGGACUGCCAGCCUAUGCCAGAGCCACAACAACACAGAAUCUGAGCUGCGUCUGCAACCUACACCACAGCUCAUGGCAAUGCCAGAUCCUCAACCCACUGAGUGAGGUCAGGGAUCGAACCGGCAUCUUCAUGAAUACUAGUUGAGUUCGUUUCCACUGUGCCACAACGGGAACUCCUGAAAUUUGUUAUUUGCAACCUAAAAUGGAUAAUUAAUAUUCAGUGGCUCUUGCAAUGAAAUUUAUUUCAACAACAACCAAAAAUAAUAGCCAGAGUACUAAAAACUACGAAAUAUAUUAACAUUUUCUUUUUAGUUCACAAUUUAUUUCUUUAUAUUUUCCAGGUUUGUUGAAAUAUAAUUGACAUUUAACAUUGAUUAAUAAUUUUAAAAAAGCACAAAACAUCAAACAAUACCAAGCCCUCGUACAUUAUUCCUUAUGGUUAGCUAAUCUGUCUUUUUGCUUGACCACUUCUGAAAGAGGAGAGGUAUUGCUUUACAAGGCAACCUGUGCCCAAACGUUCUUUGACACUUCCUCUUUUUGAAUUAUGCCCUGAUCUCUGUAACAGCACCUUUUUGACAUGUUCUGCCUUCAGGAUCUAAUAGAAUUAGUAUACUGGUUGUCGUCUUUAUCACCUUUUCACAUAUUAGAUACCGACUGUGUAUACCUGCCAAAUCUUUUCUCCUCUUGUCUGUAUAGCCCAUGCCCACCUCCCCUCACUGCUGGUCAUAUCAGAGCAUUUCUGGACCUUUCAUUCUCCCAUAUACAGCCACCUGCUUAUGCCUACAUACCCAGAGCUAUGGCUUGGCUUUAAUAUUCUUCAUUAGUUUAGGAAGGAAUACUCAAAAAAAGUGAAAAUCCUACACAUGUUUAAAAGUUAACAUAUAAAAAUAUCAGCUUUAUCUUUUAAUACUCCUGGUGUACCUUCAAGGUGGAAAGGUCCACAUAAUUUUCAAAUGGUCAGUGGAAAUAUAUAAGAUUUUGUGAAAUUUUCUAGCAUCUGCCUUAAAUGCACACUGCAAAUAUGUAUCUACAUUUUCAUGCAUAUUUCAUCAUACACUCAGGCAAUUACUACACUCAUUUUACACAUGAAAACUGAUGUGUCUUUAAAUUAGCUAAGCUAUUUGAAAACGUGAUCUUCGCAAGGAGAAAUAAUAUACUGGAUCAUAUCUUGAGGAGAAGACAAGAACAUUUAGAUAACAUUUUCGUCCCCCUGAAAUUAUUUUCCUAACCACGGGUAUUCAUUAUGAAGAAUGGUUAGGAUGGUAUAGUUUGUGUAUCCUGUUUUUCCCCCAAAGGCAAAGUGAACAAAUUAAUACAUCUGUGUAGCAGACACAGUUGUCUUAACAACUGCCUUUAAAAAAAAAAUGAAUGAUGCCAAUGUCAGCUCUCAUACUGAACUAUCCAAGGGCUUUUAUUUAUAGAAACCACAGUGGUUUUAAUGAGGUCAUGGUGUAAAAUAUUGCUCUUCAAUCCACAGAGCAAUUAUAUUGUCAAGUAAUUCUUUUGAUCUUAGAGAACUAAAUAAAGGGCCAUUGUUAAACUUCUCUCAAAACCAGGAGAUGAAAAACUUUUUGAGAUGAAGUGCUUUUUCCAUUUAUUUAUUUUUUUUGUUGUUGCAAAUAUUAUUUUCAUUGUUGGAAACCUAGACCAUGAACACUUUGAGGACAGGUCAAAGUAACUGGCUUCUCUUUGUAGUAACUGGCACUGCCCAUGGCACCUGUCAAUAUUUACUGACAGGUGAAU
rnacentral:lncRNA from 9 species